UGAUGAGGCAUGACACAGGAGCUGUCUAUGAUUCGCUAAUGCUCAGCUGUUUAGGAUUGGCUGGGAAAAAAAGCACUCAGGCUUCAGUUUGUCCACACAGCAAGUUACGGUGCAGUUUGCUUCAUAGGAACUCAGCGAACAGAGGUAGCCGCUAGCUCACGGCCUCUGCUUAUUUAAUUUAGCACCCCUGCAGGGCAUUUUUGAAUGCUGUUUCACAGAGCCAACAUAUUGUGAGCAGCUUUCCUCGUCAUGGAAGGCCAUCCCAGAGCAGUUUUUUAAUGGCUGCUGAGCGUCCUGCAGAAUCCAGUGUUCCCUGAGCUUCACAGGAAAGGAUAUGAACGCCUUGCUUAGGACCGAACCCUCAGCUGUCAGCAGAGGGCAGAGCAGCUUCUCCGUUCCCGGCCCACAGCUGAAAGAAAUGCUAUUGAGGGAAGAAAGGUUGCAAAGCCUACAAGCCUUCAGCUGCUCGGGUGUGAUAAAGACCUCAGUGUUUCUUCUUGGACUACACCGUCACAUCACGGGUUGUACCCAGAGAUUGCAGGGAUGAGCUCUGGGGCUGAAGCAUCUUGAAGAGCCCCGCAGUAGUCGCUCAUCGAUGAGCCUAGGGAAGUGGCAUCCAGCUUCUCUGAAACUCUGACUCCCCACUCCUGCCCCAGAGAGGCAGAAAUUUUCCAAAGGGACCUGGCCCAGUGGCGUGAUUUCUUCUGCUUCUUCUCUCUAUGUCCCCUGUUAAUGGGGUCCCCAGACCCUGCCUUUGGUGGUGAGAAGAGACUGAAUCCAGGAAUGAGGUGAUGGGGAAGCUGAGACUUAUGAGAGCUGUCUGAACUCACAGGGAUAGAAGGUCAAGAAAACAAGCCUAUCCGUGAAGAGGAAACAAGACUUGCCGGGAGGACCAGUUCUGCCUUGGUUAAUACAGAAGCAGGAGCUAUCUGUAGUCUGCAGGGAAGAUCGUGUGUCUGCAAUCACUCAGGUAGCGUCCCUUGCAAUCAAUGAGGCCACAGGCUGGGUGGAGAACACUGACAUGAAGUCACUAUGAGCAAGAAACCUUCACGCCCCUCCCACCUCCGAAUCUGGCCCUUCCUGACACACAUCAGUUUGGCACUGGGCUUGAAUUGCACUGAUCGUUUAGUCAGUUUCACCAUCUGAGGCACUGGGCACCAUGACAAGGGGCUGGUUUCUCAAACCUGUAGUGGGCAAUCGACCAGAGUCUGGGAAAUUGGCAGGGCCUGCCUAGCAUCCUACUCCAUGGGACCCAUGUAAACUCAUACUGUCUCUAGCUGCCCACCAGUUGCCCAGGACUCUGAGGUCCUCCAACUCCUGAUGUAAUUUUCAGAAUGAGAUGAAUAUCUAAAGGACUCUUAGUCACCCGAUGAAUAAGCAAACCCCCUUUGUUGGGUUUCCACAGCAAUGUUCUGAUGAAGUCUUUGAGCUGUCUGUGCCUGGACCUUGUUCACAUAACCAUUGCCCCAUCCCCCACCCCGCCCCCAACCUUUCCUGGCAAGUGGCCUUGGGAGUGGAGAAAAACAGUCAGUCUGACCUGGAGGUGAACAAGUCAGCCAGCACGAACAUCCCUCUGCGUACCUACAAAAGCUAAAAGAGCUGGGCACCUGCCGUCCUUGCUCCUUAGACAUCCCUGGCAUCCCAGAAGAUCUAGGGCCAUUUGUGACGGGGUAUGCAGCAACAUAUAAAGCUCAAAUGGCCAAAACAUCUGCACGCAGAGAGAAAUGAGGCAGUUGCUUAAAGGUUCUCUGUUCAGGGCACCAUCUAUGUACUGCCACACUGUGACUCGGGAUGGUUCUCAUUUCAGCCCUGGAAGUCCCUUGUCCUUGGAUGAACCCCACACACACACACACACCAGCCAUUAGGAAACCAGAAGAGUUGGUCAUGCCCCCUCUAGUUUAUUAUUAUUGUUGUUAGCACAUAAAGUAAUGGGUUUCACUGUCAUGACAUCAUAUGUGUUUACUAUCACCACACUUUGUUAUUGACUACUGUCCUUCUCUGUCCCCCACUUCUCCCUCUUGGUGGUUGCCUCCCUCUCCCAAAUAGCGCCUCUUCUGUUUGCAUGUUUGAAAUAAGAAAUUAAAAGUUUAAAAAACUAGAGUAACUGAGCUAUGUGAAUGUAGACAAUGAAUGGUCUUCAGCUGUUUUCUGGUUUUGUAUCAAAAUGUUUGAGCUCUGGUCAUCUUUAAAGGACAGAAGUCUAUUUAGAUCAUGGUUCUGGAGGCUGGAAACCCACGAACAUAGCUCCAUCAUCUCUCUGACAUGUGGUGAGGGCCUCAGGUUAUCCUGCCAUGGAAGAGGACAUGCCAUGGUGAGAGCUGUGCCAAGUCAGGUAAGUUUUCUUAUAAAACCACUUGGUAUAGCUCCUUUUGAUAUCAGUGAGGCAAUUUCUCAGAAAAUUAGGAAACAACCUUACUCAAGACCU